CCCCGCAGCAAACUACAGAAACCCAAAAGCGCCAAUACCCUCUCUCUGUCUUCCACCCAUUUUUCCUGCAGCCAUUGUGAGCCUCCACCACCAAGCAUGAACCAACAGUGCCUAGCCACCCUGCCUUCAACAGUGAAACAGAGCAAAAUUGCCUCCGUUAGUCCAUCCAACCUUCACAUCGAACAAGGUCUAAGAAAACAACGUCAUGUGCCGCAUUGAUCUCCACCUUAGUCGAUUCUUCUCUGUGACAGAUCACCUCCUCGCUUAGCCGGCUGCCCAAUUGUGUCCUACCAUCAUGCACGGCUUCUCCACUCAGUCCCUAUUUCAGCAAGCUAUCUCAUCUCCUUUCAAUCUGUGUGAAUAUGAUGAUUGAGAAGUUAGAUGAGAUGGAGCCUGAGGAGCACCCAGAUGAGGCUGCAAAUAUUAUAUUCAGGGAUGUGCUAGGACAUAGUUCUGGUUAUGCAAGAGGACAUGGUGGUUCAGUUAUACCAGAGCCUAGACCAUCAUCUAUGUCGGCACAAGUUGAGCACCUAGCCCAAAAAAAUGAGAAACAUAAAAAUGAGGCGAUGAUGUACAAAACUGAAUUGGAUGAACUGAAUUGGUGAGGCUCUGAGCAAGGUAUAGCUUUUAAUUAUUUAUCACAUCUUGAUUGUUCACCUUUUCUGGAAAUUUCCUUUUACACUUUCAAGGACGCUCUACAAAAUUUGAUUAGCUUUUUCUUCUUAAGUUUUAAAGAAAAUACAAUCCUCCAACUAAUAGUGUUUUACAUUUUACACCCCAAGCAAUAAAAAAUGUAACAUUGUGUUCUCAAACUAUCAUAAAUUUACAAUGUACAAUCUCCUUUGUGAUCUAACAAUUCAAUUUAUAUCACAUUACCUAAUUUUACCCAUUUUUCAUAUAUCUUGGUAUCUAGACUUUCUUCUCAAAUGGUAAAUAUAACUGAUAUAACUAUAGUAAAUCAAAAGGGUGUGAAUGAUCUCUUCAACUUAAUAUAGAAUGUAAAACUUCUA